GAUGUGGAUUAUCUUCUACUGCAGGGAUAUUAAAAUAUGCUUUUUGAAGAAAAACUUGAGACUAAAACACCUCGGUGCUCAACAGCCGCUGAAUAUAGUUAUAAACCAAACCGCUGGUAAAAAUAAUGAGAUUUAAAGUCGAUUGGUAAAGUGGCUAACUGUUAGCUUGUUGGAGGAGACCCUUUUUGUUUUGCUUCCUGUGUGUUUUAUUGGAUUUCUGGAUGGUACCUGGACAAGAACAGACUUUCAGGAUCUCAAGCAUCUUUCUGAGAGGAUUACCAAGCAUGAAAACAACAGGACAACAUCUGCACAAGGGGAAUUGAGCACUGUUAUAUGACAAGUUGAGGAGGGAGUUGCAUGCUGGAAGUGAUACUCGGCGAAAAACAGCUGGGCGCAGUGACCGUGUGCAGCUUCUCAGAGUCUUGUCAUAACAGCCGAGAUGCGCUGGGGAAAUGGGGAACAAAAAAAAGAAGAACUCCUUCACCCUCUUCAAGAUCCUUUUCUCCGAACACUUCAGAAGACCACGAGAUAAAGCUGCCAUUAAUGACAGCCAUCUAUUUUCAAGAACAAAGACGGUAGAUUGAAAAACCGAGAAAGAGGUUGCCCAUAUCGCUGGCGGAUGCUUUGAACAAGAGGCCCAAGUGUUCUUUGGGACUGUAAUCAAGCUCAACACAAGAAUCUUGGCAACCAACCAUGGCCAGAAGCUAUGAAGAACCUUGAUUCCACUACAGUAUCAUGUCCCCCUGUCAUGUCAUUUCAUUAGUGUAAUGACCCAUCGAUUUAGCAUUUAUGCAACAAAUUCUAUUGAGGCUGGCUGCGGGCCAAGUCAAUCACAGGCUGGGCCGGCUGUGCAUCUUGGCAAAAAGAAGGCGAUUAAAAAUUGCCUUGGAAGAGCGAGGAGGAUUUCUGGUUUCUCCACCAAACAGGA